rnacentral:rRNA from 1 species
UACGAGGAGAGCAAGCGUUAUCCGGAUUUAUUGGGCGUAAAGCGUGCGCAAGCGGUUUAGCAAGUGAGAUGUUAAAGCCCAAAGCUCAACUUUGGAAUCGCAUCUCAUACUGCUAGACUAGAAGCAAGAAGAGGCAAACGGAAUUCCCGGUGUAGUAGUGAAAUGCGUUGAUAUCGGGAGGAACACCAAAAGCGAAAGCAGUUUGCUGGUCUUGUCUUGACGCCGAGGAGCGAAAGCGUGGGGAGCGAACAGG